AAGUCGUAACAAGGUUUCCGUAGGUGAACCUGCGGAAGGAUCAUUACCAAAUCCAUAAAAUUGAAAACCCAACACCUCUGUGUGCAUUGGUUGUUUGUUCUAUCAUUUGGCUUUGGGCGAGUUUUAUGCGCAAGUGUGGAACUUUGCAAAGCCAAAUGGUGAUUAAACCCCUGUUUUCUUAAUCUUGUUUAUACCAAUUCAUACUUUCUGCUUUGCGGAAAGACGAUAUAAUUAUUAAGAAACAACUUUUAACAACGGAUCUCUUGGCUCUC
rnacentral:misc_RNA from 1 species